GUGCCAAGCUACCCUUCAGUUUCAUCAUACCAUCCCUAACGAUAACUGUAGAGUUGAUGGAGGAUGAAGACAGCAGAGAGAGCAAAAGAAACAGCCACCAGCAUUAUGGAGGACCUCACAGACUCCUCACACAGAGUUGAUGGAGGAUGAAGACAGCAGAUAGAGCAAAAGAAACAGAAAUCAAAAAACCAAAACGUGGCAGAGAAGGAAAUUCCUUCUACGUCUCAACACAGCGUCCCGGAGGUUUCUGUUGCUGCCACACCACCUAACCAUGAAAAUGGUAAAAAGAAGAGGAAGAAAAGAAAAUGGAGACACUUCUUCUGCUGUUUCUCGGAAACUGACAGCGAUACAGAGGCAGAGCCCACCACUGUAAAGCCACAAAAAAAGUCUCGCUGGUCUAUUUUCAAAUUCUGGAAGGUAUGUUUUAUGGAAAGAGUCACUGUCAUCAAGCAUUUACUCAUCACAAUGAAAUGGGAGAAAUUAAGAGCAAUGAAGCACAUGGCUAUGUCCUGUACUUUGGUUUCCUUCUACAGAGAAAAAGGCAGGUUGCUCCUGAAACAACAGUGGAACCUGAUAAAAAGAGUGACAAGUGAGGGAAACUUUCAUCUUCUCACUUUAAAGCAAAAUUCUUUUGGGAUCCUUCUGGUUGCAGAUUUGAUACUUAACAUCCUUUUGUAUAUUUUUGCAGAUUAA
rnacentral:lncRNA from 1 species